rnacentral:rRNA from 1 species
UGUAUCCUACGGGACGCAGCAGUGAGGAAUAUUGGUCAAUGGGCGCGAGCCUGAACCAGCCAAGUCGCGUGAGGGAAGACGGUCCUAUGGAUUGUAAACCUCUUUUGUCGGGGAGCAAAAGACGCCACGCGUGGCGUUCCGAGAGUACCCGAAGAAAAAGCAUCGGCUAACUCCGUGCCAGCAGCCGCGGUAAUACGGAGGAUGCGAGCGUUAUCCGGAUUGAUUGGGUUUAAAGGGUGCGCAGGCGGAAAAUCAAGUCAGCGGAAAGAUUGAGAGGCUCAACAUCU